rnacentral:rRNA from 1 species
AUUGAACGCUGGCGGCAUGCCUAACACAUGCAAGUCGGGCGAGCGGAGGACGGGCGAGUAAGGGAUGGGGAUCUGCCUGAUGGAGGGGGCUAACUACUGGAAACGGUAGCUAAUACUGCACACCACAAGAUGAACCCAUAGGGGAUUAGCUUGUAGGUGAGGUAACGGCUCACCUAGGCGACGAUCCCUAGCGGGUCUGAGAGGGUGAUCAGCAACACUGGUACUGAGACCCGGCCCAGACUCCUACGGGAGGAAGCAGUGGGGAAGAUUGCGCAAUGGGCGCAAGCCUGAUGGAGCCAUGCCGCGUGUGUGAAGAAGGCUUUCGGGUUGUAAAGUUCUUUCAGUCGGGAGGCGUUACCGAGAGAGGAAGCACCGGCUAACUACGUGCCAGCCGCCGCGGUAAUUC